rnacentral:lncRNA from 1 species
CAGAAAACCCCCUGUGUGCUUGUGAAAGGCUAUUUAUCCCCAUCAUUUAUUGACCAACUGGUGUGGACAUCUUUCCUCCUUCUAUGACCCUGCAUAUCAAUCUCUGUGCGAGAAUGGCAUAGUAGAAGCCUAACAGUUGGAAGCAAGAACAAAGUGCUGUAGAGUGAGCAACAGGAACAACGGCAAAAUCCAGUCUCAAGGUCCAGUUAACGGCUACAUGCUUCAAAGACUCUGGAAAUUUCAGACAGCAACAAAUUACAUUCUCAUUGCUAUCCAACAGCCUUGAGUAUGGAUCUUAUAUGAGACCUCAGGUCUGUUUUGAAAAGCCAGAUCAGACCAUGAAAAGCCCUCGUGUGCAGACUACUUGUUAGCAGUGAAAAAGCAUCUGUAUGAGCUGGAGGGUGGGCGUGCCAGGAAACAUACCAGAAAUUUGGUAUUCCCCCAUUCCCUUUAAUAUACUGUAGAUGCACACUUUGGAUUUGAGCCAUAUAUGUAAUUUAAACAGGGG